UGGGGAAUAUUGCGCAAUGGGCGGAAGCCUGACGCAGCGACGCCGCGUGGGGGAUGACGGCCUUCGGGUUGUAAACCUCUUCAGCAUCGACGAAGCCUUUUUGGGUGACGGUAGGUGCAGAAGAAGCCCCGGCUAACUUCGUGCCAGCAGCCGCGGUAAUACGAAGGGGGCUAGCGUUGUUCGGAAUUACUGGGCGUAAAGGGCGCGUAGGCGGACUGUUAAGUCAGGGUGAAAUCCCGGGGCUCAACCCCGGAACUGCCUUUGACUUACUGGCGGUCUUGAGUUCGGGAGAGGUGAGUGGAAUUCCGAGUGUAGAGGUGAAAUUCGUAGAUAUUCGGAGGAACACCAGUGGCGAAGGCGGCUCACUGGCCCGAUACUGACGCUGAGGCGCGAAAGCGUGGGGAGCAAACAGGAUUAGAUACCC
rnacentral:rRNA from 1 species